UACGAAGGGGGCUAGCGUUGUUCGGAAUUACUGGGCGUAAAGCGCGCGCAGGCGGUCUUCCAAGUCAGUGGUGAAAGCCCGGAGCUCAACUCCGGAACUGCCAUUGAAACUGUAAGACUUGAGGAUGAGAGAGGUGAGUGGAAUUCCCAGUGUAGAGGUGAAAUUCGUAGAUAUUGGGAAGAACACCGGUGGCGAAGGCGGCUCACUGGCUCAUAUCUGACGCUCAGGCGCGACAGC
rnacentral:rRNA from 1 species